UUGAAAGAACUUUGAAGAGAGAGUUCAAGAGUACGUGAAACCGUUCAGGGUAACCUGAGAAACCCAAGAUCGAAUGGGAAAAUUCAGUACAGCGGCUUUGGCUUCCGUGCGGCUGCGAUGCCCGGGACUUCGGUUCCGUGUCACGCGCUCACUGCGGCAUGUCCGGCAUCGUCGGUGUGCACUUCUCCCCUAGUAGGACGUCGCGACCCGUUGGGUGCCGGCCUACGGGACUGUAUCGUAGACUGUCGCGUCGCGUUCACGCGUGCUCGCGGCAAACGAUGGUCUCCCGGCCGGCUGCCCGGCGGUAUAGAUCGCUAUAAAACGGUAUUGGGCCGCAUUAAGUGCGUCCUGGCCCGUCGGCAGACACGUCUCGCUCGGAUUUACGGACCUAGCGCCGUUGCCGGGUGCUUGGCGUGUUGUUAGUCGACGGUGUCCUCGGACUGGCUCUUGCAUUCGAACGGAUUUACCGGUCGGCGACGCUACUGCUUUGGGUACUUUCAGGACCGUCUGAAACACGGACCAAGGAGUCUAACAUGUGCGCGAGUCAUUGGGACUUGUUAAGCCUAAAGGCGCAAUGAAAGUGAAGGUCGACCCUAGCGUCGACCGAGGGAGGAUGGAUCUCGUCACGAUGAUAUCCCGCACUCCCGGGGCGUCUCGUGCUCAUUGCGAGCAGAGGCGCACCCAGAGCGUACACGUUGGGACCCGAAAGAUGGUGAACUAUGCCUGGUCAGGACGAAGUCAGGGGAAACCCUGAUGGAGGUCCGUAGCGAUUCUGACGUGCAAAUCGAUCGUCGGAACUGGGUAUAGGGGCGAAAGACUAAUCGAACCAUCUAGUAGCUGGUUCCCUCCGAAG
rnacentral:rRNA from 1 species